UAGGGAAUCUUCGGCAAUGGCCGGAAGUCUGACCGAGCAACGCCGCGUGAGUGAAGAAGGUUUUCGGAUCGUAAAGCUCUGUUGUUAGAGAAGAACGUUGGUAGGAGUGGAAAAUCUACCAAGUGACGGUAACUAACCAGAAAGGGACGGCUAACUACGUGCCAGCAGCCGCGGUAAUACGUAGGUCCCGAGCGUUGUCCGGAUUUAUUGGGCGUAAAGCGAGCGCAGGCGGUUCUUUAAGUCUGAAGUUAAAGGCAGUGGCUUAACCAUUGUACGCUUUGGAAACUGGAGGAGUUGAGUGCAGAAGGGGAGGGUGGAAUUACAGGUGUGGCGGUGAAAUGCGUAGAUAUAUGGAGGAACACCGGUGGCGAAGGCGGCUCUCUGGUCUGUAACUGACGCGGAGGCUAGAAGGGGUGGGGAGCAAACAGG
rnacentral:rRNA from 1 species